UUAUCUUGUAGCUCAAUGGAAGAGCGUCCGACUAUACGGUGCGGAAGGUCGCAGGUUCGACUCCAGCUGGUAAA
rnacentral:tRNA from 1 species